rnacentral:rRNA from 1 species
AUUGAACGCUGGCGGCAGGCCUAAUACCUGCAAGUCGCACGAGUGGCGGACGGGUGAGUAAUGUCUUGGCACCUGGCUGAUGGAGGGGUAUAACUACUGGAAACGGUAGCUAAUACCGCAUACCAUACUCUGUGCCCUGAUGGGAUUAGCUAGUGGGUGGGGUAACGGCUGAUCAAGGCGACGAUCCCUAGCUGGUCUGAGAGGCUGACCGUCCACACUGGGACUGAGACACGGUCCAGACGCCUACGGGAGGCAGCAGUAGGGAAUAUUGCGCAAUGGGCGCAAGCCUGAUGCAGCCAUGCCGCGUGUGUGAAGAAGGCCUUCGGGUUGUAAAGUACUUUCAGCGGGGAGGCGUUACCCGCAGAAGAAGCACCGGCUAACUCCGUGCCAGCAGCCGCGGUAAUAC